UGAGCGCGUCGGGAGUUAGGAAAUGCAGGUGCGUUAAUAGCGCACUUGCUUGACUAAAGCUCCAGAGGAAGCCACGGCUAACUCGUGCCAGCAGCCGCGGUAAUACAGAGGCGGCAAGCGUUGUUCGGAAUUAUUGGGCGUAAAGAGCACGUAGGCGGCCUUGCACGGCCUUGCAAGUCAGUUGUGAAAGCCUUCCGCUUAACGGAAGAACGGCAUCUGAUACUACAGGGCUUGAGUACGGGAGGGGAGAGUGGAACUUCUGGUGGAGCGGUGAAAUGCGUAGAUAUCAGAAGGAACGCCGGCGGCGAAAGCGAUUCUCUGGCCUUACUGACACUCAGUGUGCGAAAGCUAGGGGAGCAAAGGGAUUAGAUACCCCGGUAGUCCUAGCCGUAAAUGCUGGGCACUAAGUAGAGGGGUUUUA
rnacentral:rRNA from 1 species